rnacentral:rRNA from 1 species
GAUGAACGCUGGCGGCGUGCCUAAUACAUGCGAGUCGAGCGAACAGAUGAGGAGCUUGCUCCUCUGACGUUAGCGGCGGACGGGUGAGUAACACGUGGAUAACCUACCUAUAAGACUGGGAUAACUUCGGGAAACCGGAGCUAAUACCGGAUAAUAUAUUGAACCGCAUGGUUCAAUAGUGAAAGACGGUUUUGCUGUCACUUAUAGAUGGAUCCGCGCCGCAUUAGCUAGUUGGUAAGGUAACGGCUUACCAAGGCAACGAUGCGUAGCCGACCUGAGAGGUGGUUCGGCCACACGGAACUUGAGACACGGCCCGGCCUCCUAGGGGAGGCGCAGGUGGGGAUCCUUCGGCAAUGGGCGAAAGCCUGCCGGGGCAAGGCGGCGUGGGUAAUGAAGGUCUUCGAUCCGUAAAACUUUGUAAUAGGGGAAGAAAAAUUGUGAAAGUACCUAUCACCGUCUGAACGGUACCUAUCCGGAAGGCCCCGCCUACCUCCUU